CCUGUGACCGGUGCGCUCCAAACACAAUAAUCUCCUACCUUUACUUGAGGAGUACAAAUCCAUCAUGUUUUCGACGAGGAGUAGCCGUCUAAGACAACAGUCAAAAGAGCCUUAUGUCUCAUUCUGUGCUUAAAAGAAGAAAAUGUCAUAUUCAUCUGAAGACAUGAGGCACCGCUGUCUACGGUCUGCUGCUGGGAAUCUGACUGGAGGUUCAAGAUGUUUGCACAAGAGGGCGUGUUUUUCCCAUACAGUUUUUAACUUACAGUUGACAGUAAACAGACAAGCAUUUUCAGCACUCACAUAUUAACAGAUCUCAUACAAAACUCAGACUGGUGGAACUGACAUCAAAUACAAAUACAGUACACUGUAAUGUGUACGGUGUUGAGAUGGGUUUUGCUAAUUAUAUUACAAUCCUUUCACAAAUGAUUGUGAAUUGAU